UCUUUCAGCAGGGAAGAAGCGAAAGUGACGGUACCUGCAGAAGAAGCGCCGGCUAACUACGUGCCAGCAGCCGCGGUAAUACGUAGGGCGCGAGCGUUGUCCGGAAUUAUUGGGCGUAAAGAGCUCGUAGGCGGCUUGUCGCGUCGGUUGUGAAAGCCCGGGGCUUAACCCCGGGUCUGCAGUCGAUACGGGCAGGCUAGAGUUCGGUAGGGGAGAUCGGAAUUCCUGGUGUAGCGGUGAAAUGCGCAGAUAUCAGGAGGAACACCGGUGGCGAAGGCGGAUCUCUGGGCCGAUACUGACGCUGAGGAGCGAAAGCGUGGGGAGCGAACAGGAUUAGAUACCCUGGUAGUCCACGCCGUAAACGGUGGGCACUAGGUGUGGGCGACAUUCCACGUCGUCCGUGCCGCAGCUAACGCAUUAAGUGCCCCGCCUGGGGAGUACGGCCGCAAGGCUAAAACUCAAAGGAAUUGACGGGGGCCCGCACAAGCGGCGGAGCAUGUGGCUUAAUUCGACGCAACGCGAAGAACCUUACCAAGGCUUGACAUACACCGGAAAGCAUCAGAGAUGGUGCCCCCCUUGUGGUCGGUGUACAGGUGGUGCAUGGCUGUCGUCAGCUCGUG
rnacentral:rRNA from 1 species